ensembl:lncRNA
AUGAAUCAAAUACAAAGAUGGUCUUUUAGCGCCCCGUACAGGUCAGAUUAAGGAUGUGCAGAGUGGGAGAGUUCCAGGUGGAUUUAACAUUCAAGACAGUCGCCUGACCCCACACUGAAGACGGCUCGAAAACACAAACCAUCACAAAUAUGAGUUUCUCUGACCUGACUUCACCCUUCGACGUUUCUUCCAUGAGCGAAGAACAACUCGAGAGUUUGGUUGAACAACUUCAAGAUGCCGUCAGUAAUGUGAACGAGGAACUGAACAUGACUAAGGAAGAGCGAGAGGCUGUAGAUAAGGACGUGAAAAGACGCACUGAAGACCUGAACCGGAGGAUGGUGAUGGCGACGCAGACAGGAGGAGUGGGUGAGGCCCUGUUGGAGCUGGAGCAACUGAGGCUGAGGAGGGCUGAGCUGGUCCAGCAACUGGAGGGGAUUAAUAGGUCACAGGGUAAAGGAUCAAAGAAGAAACUGAAGGAUUUAGAUAAAAUUGACAAGGUGGCGGAGUCUCUAGCAGAGAAGGAGAAGAGUUUGAACCUCCAGUGUCUGGCGAUAAGGAAGUCUCUAGCAGAGAUCCAGUCUCGCUGCCUAGAAGAAAAUCAAUCGCUACAAGUGAGUCAAGCCUCUGGUUGGGUGAAGUUGGAAAAGCUGGAGGAAUCUACCAAGCCAGGCCCAAGGAGGGGUCUACAACCACAAGGCCAAACAGCAGACAACAAGCCAACAAAACACAGAAGACAGAAGUGACAAGCUGUUUACAUUUGAUUUGAUUUGAUUUUAUACUGUUAGUAAGUAGAACUGAUUACGUUAUUAUUGGUGAAAUCUAGACAUUUUUGUGGUAGACAUUUAGAAAGAUUUGUAUUAGUAAUUUUGAUGGGUUGGGAAUAUAACUUGAGAAGCCGUGUUAAUAUUAUCUCUGAGGGACUGAAUAUUUUUCAGUGAAAUAUUUACUGUUCAAUAAAUUAAAGUAAUGAACCAAUGUAUGGUGACUUUUAAUGGACUUUACAAUGAAAUGGUUUAUCUAGGGGAACAUUUAUCGAGGGGAAAAGGAAAUAAAGGUUUUCUGUUGUGACUCA